UACGGAGGGUGCAAGCGUUAUCCGGAUUCACUGGGUUUAAAGGGUGCGUAGGUGGGUCUGUAAGUCAGUGGUGAAAUCCCCGAGCUUAACUUGGGAACUGCCAUUGAUACUAUAGCUCUUGAAUACUGUGGAGGUCAGCGGAAUAUGUCAUGUAGCGGUGAAAUGCUUAGAUAUGACAUAGAACACCAAUGGCGAAGGCAGCUGGCUACACAAAUAUUGACACUGAGGCACGAAAGCGUGGGGAGCAAACAGG
rnacentral:rRNA from 1 species